AGCAAUCCUGCCAGUGAGCCUUGCAGCCCCGUGAAGGGCAGAGACGUGAAGGCGGGUUGUCACAGCUAGUGGACAGCGGAGCUGGGACGUGAACCCAUGUCUGCCUGUCUGUGGAAACCGCGCCCCGUCCACCGCACCAUGAAUGUGAGUGUGAAUUUCCUCCCCGUCACAAUGCAUGGCAAGUGACUUCACAGCCCUUUUCAGAGCAUCAGUGUCUCAGCGCUUCCAAGCUGUUAGGAUCGAUGAUAGCGCACCCUAGCUGCAAAUCUGUGAAAUUUCACCUUUGUUUCUUUUAGCUUUCUCUCCCUUUUUUUUCCAACAACAACAAAGGCAAUGGCCAUCUUCUGAAAUCUUCUAUAAUGUUAAAAUUCCUUUCAAGAUUUCUUUUGCACCGAUGGAUUGUCCGGAACCAGGAGCCAAACGUGCAAUGCCCUUCUCUGGGAAGGGAGAACACUCAGCUCCAACGUGUGUGACCAAGUGACUGAGAGUAGGUUCGUUUGGUUCUCCUUGUCUGUUUCUUGCUGGCUGUCAAAACCAGGGAAAAACCAAUUCAGUUAUCCACAGUCAGCUGCGGUCUGGAAGCAGAUAAUCCUUUUGACAAACCCUCAGAACGUUAGUAGGAGCCUAACGCUAAGUCACAGUGCCUGAGCCAUUUGUCAUUCACAUGAAUUCAUCUCAUCAUGGGGGCAUUUUACCAUCUCACAUCAUCACAAGGAGGACGGACCUCUCAUUGCCUGACUCAAGAACCAAUUUUCAGAGGCGCCUGGGUGGCUCAGUCGGUUGGGGGUCCGACUUCGGCUCAGGUCAUGAUCUGACAGUUUGUGAGUUCGGGCCCGCGUUGGGCUCUGUGCUGACAGCUCAGAGCCUGGAGCCUGCUUUAGGUUCUGUGUCUCCCUCUC